rnacentral:rRNA from 1 species
UACGUAGGGUGCAAGCGUUAUCCGGAAUUAUUGGGCGUAAAGAGCUCGUAGGCGGUUUGUCGCGUCUGCCGUGAAAGUCCGGGGCUCAACUCCGGAUCUGCGGUGGGUACGGGCAGACUAGAGUGCAGUAGGGGAGACUGGAAUUCCCGGUGUAGCGGUGGAAUGCGCAGAUAUCAGGAGGAACACCGAUGGCGAAGGCAGAUCUCUGGGCCGUAACUGACGCUGAGGAGCGAAAGCAUGGGGAGCGAACAGG